CCCUCUCCCCCCCCACCACCCCCUGCCACCCCCCACCUGGACAGCAAAGACGGACCCCCUGACGGCCCUGCGGGGAGGAGAGCAGCACAGCCUGGGAAAAGGGGAGUCCUCUGCUCCGACGAUGUGGCGGCCAGAGCGUGGAGGAGAUGAUGGCCGGAUCAAGACCGGAGUGGCCUGCGCCAGUGAGGAGGGGGCCCCAGUCCUCCCCCAGGUAAGGCCAGGGACGGGGGAGGGGGCUGAGCACUGACGCUCGGCCAAUACAGGCAGUCCUUGACAUACCACCACAAAAUUUAGGUCGCUAAGCAAAACCUCACUAAGCGAGUUUUGCCCAUUUUCGACGGUUCUUAAAUGAAUCGCUGCAGUGGUUACCUAAGGACACGGUUGUGAAUCUGGAUCCCCUGGAGUUCGCUUGUCAACGAAGGGAAUCACGGGACCCCCCCCCCGGGUUGUAAUGUGAGUCAGCCGUGCCGUUGUAAACUUGAAACGGUCACUAAUGAACUGUCAUAAGUCGGGAACUGCCUGUAUCGCAGCCCCUUUGCAACCUGCAGCUGAGGGAUUGCGACCGCCAUGGAUGGGUGGAGGGGAUCCCGUCCUGCCACAGGGGGGGGGGGUUUCCAUAGAGUCCCCUUCCGAGGAGCCCCAGGCCAG